CUUCAUGGUGGGAACUGGAGGAGAAACAAUGAAAAAGUGGAGAAAUAGAAAUAAAUGACAUCAAUGAUAAAUUUUAUGAAAGAAAAUGUUAAAACUAAACCAUGAAAACUAAUACAGAAGCCUACUUGCCUACGGUGGUAAGGAAAGAAAUCUUGGAGCUGGUGAUAUUUGCACUCAACAGUGAUAUGAGGUGUGGGGAGAGGGAUGGAAGUUGAGAUAGAGAGAAGAGCACGUGCAAAAGUCCUGGGGUGAGGGAAAUGUGAAGGAUCCAUUUCUUUUGCUGUAAAUAAGACAACAUACUGUCCUGAGUGUACGUGGGUAUUUAUAAAGUAAUAAUAUUUAUCUAAAACUUGGAGUGAAGUAUCUGAAUGAACGUAUGCUUCGAGUAAGGGUUAUAAACCAUUGUGUCUAUUUAUGUACAGAUGAGAAUACCACAUAUUCCAGCCCUGCCGUGAAGGAAAGGUGGAAUCAGAGAUGAGGAAUCUUCAGCUCAGAUAGGAGACACACAGAAAGGUUUGCAUGUGGAAGUGCCAGCCUGUCAACCUCUCCAGAGGCUCCAGAAGUGAGGCCAGAAUUUUGAUGAUAGGAGAUAGACUUUGGAGGUCAUCACCCACAUCCCCUGUCAUGGUCACUGUCAUUGUCCCUAUUCCAGGCAGUCAGAAGGAAAAAUGAAGGAUGAACAUAAUGCGUUGGGUUCAAUGGGCCAGGGCUGGAAGCAGCCACCUCUCCUGGGCAAAGCCUCAAUUUCACAGAUCUUCUCAGGUGAGAAUUGAAUCACUGCAAAUGAAAAGCUUGCCCUUGGGUUGUGUCGACAGGUUUGAAGCAGGCAGGGAAAUCUAUUCAUGGCAGAGAUAUAAACGGUCCCUUUAUUCUAUGGGUGGAUGUGGAUCAAGAAUUCUAGACACACAGGGUGAAGCCUGUGUCCAAACUAAUAGGACCUUCACACUGUUUUCAGCAUGGAGAGCUCACAAGUAUUGGAGGAUUGGGAGAAUGGGGUGUCUAGAAUAACGUAAAGCAACAGGAAGCUUGAUUCACCCAGAUGGGUAACCUGAGCAUAUGCCCUCCUAUGGAUCAGCUCAGGAAUUCCACGCUGGCUUCAACACAAAGGCCUUUUCACCCGUGCUUGCUAACAUUCAGAUUCCCAUUAAAGAUGUGUGUUUUUAAUUAAUCAUUUCAAAUAAAACCUUGACAUUAUUUUGCAUUAAUUUUUCAUGUUUAAGUAAUUGGUUUAAUCGAGAAACGGAAGUGCAUGAGGCAGAUACUAAGUUAGUUAGGUCAUUGCAAAUAUUUAGUUGGACUUUUAUCAUCCCUCGGCCUCAGAUUUUCUGAAGCCUCUGAUGCCGUUCACCCCUCUGACCUACGUGAAAGUAGCUCUUAUCUUGUUCACCUUUUGGACCUUGUUUCAAAAGUAAUGAUAGAAAUGAGCAGUCCAGUUGAGAAAACAAGAUACUCUGGGAGGGUAGGUGCUGAAAAUUCUUGGAGAAACCAAAGCUGAAGACAAGACUCUCAAUCAAUUGAUCUUGGCAAGG
rnacentral:lncRNA from 10 species